GGUCCCUUAGCUCAGCCGGUUAGAGCGUCUGACUCAUAAUCAGAGGGUCGUAGGUUCAAGUCCUACAGGGACCA
rnacentral:tRNA from 2 species